rnacentral:rRNA from 1 species
GACAGAGGGUGCAAACGUUGUUCGGAAUUACUGGCGUAAGCGAGUGUAGGCGGUCCGAAAAGUCGGGUGUGAAAGCCCUGGGCUCAACCCAGGAAGUGCACUCGAAACUGCCGGGCUAGAGUACUGGAGAGGUUGGUGGAAUUCUCGGUGUAGAGGUGAAAUUCGUAGAUAUCGAGAGGAACACCGGUGGCGAAGGCGGCCAACUGGACAGAUACUGACGCUGAGACUCGAAAGC